GCCCCAGUAGCUCAGUGGAUAGAGCACGGCUCUCCUAAAGCCGGUGUCGGAGGUUCGAAUCCUCUCUGGGGCACC
rnacentral:tRNA from 1 species